UCUCAUAGACUCCUUGGAUCGUAGAUCAAAUCUUGUUCAUCCCCGAAAUUGAACCUAAAUCUCAUAUCUAGUGCUAGCUAGACAUAAUCAACUAUUUAAUCCUGUAUGAUCCAUAACUUAAUUCUCAAUCAAGCCAGUCUAUUUAUUCAAUCAAGUCCUAUACUUUUAAAUUGAAUAUAUAGACUUAGGUCAAUCUUUUUUUACGUUG
rnacentral:lncRNA from 1 species